CCAGUACUACGUUGAAGAAGAGUGGAGGGGAUUUGACAAGAUGAGGGCUCAGCAGACUAAAGGGUCAAAGUCAGCCUGGUGCCUGUUUUAGUAUCCCUGCAAGGUGGGCAUAUUCAGCCUUGAGCAGUGGAAGAUACCAAGUGAUACAGUUUGAAUGACCCAGAAAGGCACUCUCCAUUUUGUAUCCCCCCUUAGCCCUCCAUUACUCCUCUUGAUCAAGAAGUUGGCAUUUGGAGUUAUGGAAUUGUCUCCAGGAUCCCCUAUCAGAACGAGAUUCUCUUGCUGGGGAAAGUAAAUGCCCUGCCAGUGGUGUUUCUGGAGGCAUUGCGCACUGAAUCUCCAUCUGCUCCCACACAUCUCAGCCCUGGCCCCUGAGCAGGGCCAUGUGACCAGUUCUAGUCAAUUAAAACUCCAACUACAAAUCUCCAGUUCUUUCUCCCCUUGCCUUUGCCAGGUCUGCAGGCACUUGCUGGAGGAAAGUGUUGUAAGAUGAUGGAGCCCCAGGCCAUCUGCAUACUUUGAGUGAUUCCCUCCACCCCUCAUCCAGUACAGAUACAGAAUAUUGUUGGAAACACAUGCACCAUGAGCAAGAUAUAAAACCUCCAGAUUUGAAUAUUAUUUGCUACAAAUGCCUAGUCUAUCUUGACAAAUACAGUGUGCAUAAACAUUGCUUGGAGAGUUCGUUCAAAUCCAUUUCUCAGUUCCCACAUUAGCUAAAUCAGAAUUUCAGGUGCAAGGGAAAAGUCAUCAUCACAUUUAAAAAAAAAAUCAUUCAGUAAAUUUGAUACACACCAGUGAUUAAAAACCACUGUGGAUAGCCAUUUGCAUUCCUUGAUGAUAUUGACAGCAAUUACCAGGGUCUUUGAAAUCUUUUCACUCAUAGCACUCAGAAAAUGAUAUUAGUUAUAUGACUUACUGGGCCCAAUCGACCAAGCUGUGUGUGGCUAGAAGCUGAAUGGGAUGGGGAUAUAGGAAAGAAUGGCUUUCAUAUUCUGGGCCCUGCCUGUCCCUAAAGCCGAGAGAUGACCAUUUCAGAUCACCCUUCAUGUUUGUAAUGCUGUGCAGAGGCAUGUGGGUUGGGAAGCUCUG
rnacentral:lncRNA from 10 species